CGGACCACUUCGGUGGUCAGCGGCGGACGGGUGAGUAACACGUGGGCAACCUGCCUGUAAGACUGGGAUAACACCGGGAAACCGGUGCUAAUACCGGAUAAUCCUUUCCUUCACAUGAAGGGAAGCUGAAAGACGGUUUCGGCUGUCACUUACAGAUGGGCCCGCGGCGCAUUAGCUAGUUGGUGAGGUGACGGCUCACCAAGGCGACGAUGCGUAGCCGACCUGAGAGGGUGAUCGGCCACACUGGGACUGAGACACGGCCCAGACUCCUACGGGAGGCAGCAGUAGGGAAUCUUCCGCAAUGGACGAAAGUCUGACGGAGCAACGCCGCGUGAGCGAUGAAGGCCUUCGGGUCGUAAAGCUCUGUUGUCAGGGAAGAACAAGUACCGGAGUAACUGCCGGUACCUUGACGGUACCUGACCAGAAAGCCACGGCUAACUACGUGCCAGCAGCCGCGGUAAUGCGUAGGUGGCAAGCGUUGUCCGGAAUUAUUGGGCGUAAAGCGCGCGCAGGCGGUCCUUUAAGUCUGAUGUGAAAGCCCACGGCUCAACCGUGGAGGGUCAUUGGAAACUGGGGGACUUGAGUGCAGAAGAGGAAAGUGGAAUUCCACGUGUAGCGGUGAAAUGCGUAGAGAUGUGGAGGAACACCAGUGGCGAAGGCGACUUUCUGGUCUGUAACUGGCGCUGAGGCGCGAAAGCGUGGGGAGCAAACAGGAUUAGAUACCCUGGUAGUCCACGCCGUAAACGAUGAGUGCUAAGUGUUAGAGGGUUUCCGCCCUUUAGUGCUGCAGCUAACGCAUUA
rnacentral:rRNA from 1 species